rnacentral:misc_RNA from 1 species
CGUACCGACCUUGUUGGCGCUCGUAGUACCUCGCCCUUCUUGAGCAGGCGCACCCUCUCCCUCGCCGGCAGCUCGCUUCUUCCACAAUCUGCCUACUGUAACACCUGUUGAUCUCGCACGCUCAAUACUACUUCCGAAACCGUGUCACAACACUCGUUGAGAGCUCUGGCAAGCAGGAGCAAACAGAAGUGCCUUUUCUUCGACCUCUUUGAAAGAAAAAUGACGCAAGUACCUGGCGCGACGGUGAAGCUAUCCGAGAUGCCUAAGGAGAUGGAGAACUUUGCCAUUUUCUGUGCACAGGAGGGGCUCGCGAAACUGCGAACUGCGCAGGAGCUGGCCAGCUUUAUUCGAAAGGAGUUCGAAAAAAAGUAUGGCCCGACGUGGAACUGCUUUGUUGGCCGGAACUUUGGUAGCUUUGUCACGCACGAAGAGGGCAACUACGUGUACUUCUACGUUGGUCAAACCGGUGUUCUGCUUUUCAAGUCGUCUUAGUGAUUUUUGGCGAAUGGCAUAGUGCACACACACACACACUCACACACACACACACACACACACACGUGCAGAGUGUGUUGCCAAUGUCCGCGAUGCCCGCGAAGUGAAGCUGCUCCGUGUGACACGUCGGUGACCGCGAACUACGUGCGAGCCUUUUUACAGCUCGUUCAUAGCCGUACGUGGUACUGCUUUGCCAAAUUUUCCAUCCCUUGCAUAAAAGGGCAUGAAUGAUGUAAAUGAGUGUGUCCUGGUGUCUGUGUCUUUCCGCGUGGAUUACACGUGCCCCACGCGCGGGUAGUC